GAUGAACGCUGGCGGCGUGCUUAACACAUGCAAGUCGAACGGAAAGGCUCCUGCUUGCAGGGGUACUCGAGUGGCGAACGGGUGAGUAACACGUGGGUGAUCUGCCCUGCACUUCGGGAUAAGCCUGGGAAACUGGGUCUAAUACCGGAUAGGACGAUGGUUUGGAUGCCAUUGUGGAAAGUUUUUUCGGUGUGGGAUGAGCUCGCGGCCUAUCAGCUUGUUGGUGGGGUAAUGGCCUACCAAGGCGUCGACGGGUAGCCGGCCUGAGAGGGUGUACGGCCAAAUGGGGAAUGGGAGACGGCCCAGACUCCAAGGGGGGGAAGAGGGGGGGAAAAUGGAAAAAGGGGCGAAAGCCGGAGGAGGGGACGCCGGGGGGGGGAGGACGGCCUUCGGGUGGAAACCUCCUUUCGCUAGGGAGGAAGGGAAAGGGCGGGGACCUGGAAAAAAAGCACCGGUAAAAUAGGG
rnacentral:rRNA from 1 species